CCCCCCCCCCCCCCCACACCCACUUCUCUGUGCGUGUGUGUGUGUGUGUGUGCUGGAUGAUGAUAAUAAUGGUGGUGGUGGUGGGUAAGAACGCGAAAGAAGAAAAAGCGUCGAGGCGACAUGGCCUCAUCGAGCGGGCGGAGGCAACGUGCGCUGCAAUCUUCCUCUAACUGACAGGACUUCUUCAUCCAUUCUGCAUUUUUGUUAGACCUGUGGAAUCUAAGACUUGGGUUGCUAUCCGUCCGCUCCAGCGUCGAAAAAAAAAACUAAUAACUCAUAUCUAAACGAACAUACUGAUGAAUCUAGACGGGACAAACCCGCAGCCGACAAUUUAUGGAUUCCUAUGUACCAUCAGCGAGAAAUUACUUUAUUUCUUAGAACAGUGCAUGGGGGGAAGAUAACAUAAAUAUGUUAUGUAUAUUCACACUAAAAAGUAGUAGUAGUAGAAAGAUGAAAGGCUUCGGAGAAAAUUAUGAACACAAAAUCAUUUUAGACUGCAGGAGGCUAUAUUGCAAAUAAAAAGUGUGCAGUUAUCUCUCAUGCAAGUGAAA